GAACAUAAGAGUUUGAUCCUGGCUCAGAUUGAACGCUGGCGGCAUGCUUUACACAUGCAAGUCGGACGGCAGCACAGGGAAGCUUGCUUCUCGGGUGGCGAGUGGCGAACGGGUGAGUAACAUAUCGGAACGUACCGGGUAGCGGGGGAUAACUGAUCGAAAGAUCAGCUAAUACCGCAUACGUCUUGAGAGGGAAAGCAGGGGACCUUCGGGCCUUGCGCUAUCCGAGCGGCCGAUAUCUGAUUAGCUGGUUGGCGGGGUAAAGGCCCACCAAGGCGACGAUCAGUAGCGGGUCUGAGAGGAUGAUCCGCCACACUGGGACUGAGACACGGCCCAGACUCCUACGGGAGGCAGCAGUGGGGAAUUUUGGACAAUGGGCGCAAGCCUGAUCCAGCCAUGCCGCGUGUCUGAAGAAGGCCUUCGGGUUGUAAAGGACUUUUGUCAGGGAAGAAAAGGCCGUUGCCAAUAUCGGCGGCCGAUGACGGUACCUGAAGAAUAAGCACCGGCUAACUACGUGCCAGCAGCCGCGGUAAUACGUAGGGUGCGAGCGUUAAUCGGAAUUACUGGGCGUAAAGCGGGCGCAGACGGUUACUUAAGCAGGAUGUGAAAUCCCCGGGCUCAACCCGGGAACUGCGUUCUGAACUGGGUGACUCGAGUGUGUCAGAGGGAGGUGGAAUUCCACGUGUAGCAGUGAAAUGCGUAGAGAUGUGGAGGAAUACCGAUGGCGAAGGCAGCCUCCUGGGAUAACACUGACGUUCAUGUCCGAAAGCGUGGGUAGCAAACAGGAUUAGAUACCCUGGUAGUCCACGCCCUAAACGAUGUCAAUUAGCUGUUGGGCAACUUGAUUGCUUGGUAGCGUAGCUAACGCGUGAAAUUGACCGCCUGGGGAGUAUGGUCGCAAGAUUAAAACUCAAAGGAAUUGACGGGGACCCGCACAAGCGGUGGAUGAUGUGGAUUAAUUCGAUGCAACGCGAAGAACCUUACCUGGUUUUGACAUGUGCGGAAUCCUCCGGAGACGGAGGAGUGCCUUCGGGAGCCGUAACACAGGUGCUGCAUGGCUGUCGUCAGCUCGUGUCGUGAGAUGUUGGGUUAAGUCCCGCAACGAGCGCAACCCUUGUCAUUAGUUGCCAUCAUUCGGUUGGGCACUCUAAUGAGACUGCCGGUGACAAGCCGGAGGAAGGUGGGGAUGACGUCAAGUCCUCAUGGCCCUUAUGACCAGGGCUUCACACGUCAUACAAUGGUCGGUACAGAGGGUAGCCAAGCCGCGAGGCGGAGCCAAUCUCACAAAACCGAUCGUAGUCCGGAUUGCACUCUGCAACUCGAGUGCAUGAAGUCGGAAUCGCUAGUAAUCGCAGGUCAGCAUACUGCGGUGAAUACGUUCCCGGGUCUUGUACACACCGCCCGUCACACCAUGGGAGUGGGGGAUACCAGAAGUAGGUAGGGUAACCGCAAGGAGUCCGCUUACCACGGUAUGCUUCAUGACUGGGGUGAAGUCGUAACAAGGUAGCCGUAGGGGAACCUGCGGCUGGAUCACCUCCUUU
rnacentral:rRNA from 1 species